CCUACGGGGGGCAGCAGUGAGGAAUAUUGGUCAAUGGGCGCGAGCCUGAACCAGCCAAGUAGCGUGAGGGAUGAAGGCACUGCGUAUUGUAAACUUCUUUUGUAAGGGAAUAAAGUGGGGCACGUGUGCCUUGUUGUGUGUACUUUAUGAAUAAGGAUCGGCUAACUCCGUGCCAGCAGCCGCGGUAAUACGGAGGAUGCGAGCGUUAUCCGGAUUUAUUGGGUUUAAAGGGUGCGUAGGCGGGCAUUUAAGCCGGCGGUCAAAUGUCGGGGCUCAACCCCGGCCUGCCGUCGGAACUGGGUGUCGUGAGUGGGCGAGAAGUAUGCGGAAUGCGCGGUGUAGCGGUGAAAUGCAUAGAGAUCACGCAGAACCCCGAUUGCGAAGGCAGCAUACCGGCGCCCCACUGACGCUGAGGCACGAAAGCGUGGGUAUCGAACAGGAUUAGAUACCCUGGUAGUC
rnacentral:rRNA from 1 species